GCAUAUUCAUUUGACGUUAGCUGCAGAAGAAGCACCGGCUAACUCCGUGCCAGCAGCCGCGGUAAUACGGAGGGUGCGAGCGUUAAUCGGAAUUACUGGGCGUAAAGCGCAUGCAGGUGGUUUGUUAAGUCAGAUGUGAAAGCCCGGGGCUCAACCUCGGAAUUGCAUUUGAAACUGGCAAACUAGAGUACUGUAGAGGGGGUAGAAUUUCAGGUGUAGCGGUGAAAUGCGUAGAGAUCUGAAGGAAUACCGGUGGCGAAGGCGGCCCCCUGGACAGAUACUGACACUCAGAUGCGAAAGCGUGGGGAGCAAACAGGAUUAGAUACCCUGGUAG
rnacentral:rRNA from 1 species